rnacentral:lncRNA from 1 species
GGAUCUUCUCCUAGAUGGAGGUCUUGGCCUCCAAUGGAGUAGUGGUCUCUCUCUCUCAAGAGUAGAGAUAGGUAGGAGCAAAGCUCACAUACAAAUGAGCUAUCACUUUGCUAACCCUAGAAAGGAGGUGGAGGUGGUCUAUUUAUAGUCUAAGCCACGAAGGGGUAAGUGGGAGAGGGAUACAUGGCCAAAGGCCCGCGGCUGCGCACACAGGCGUCAGACGUCCGGUGGGGGUCAGACAUCCGGAAGCUCGGGAUGGUCCGGACGUCCGAAAGACUUCGGACUUCCAUAAAUUCUUCUCUGUCACCGUAGUAUCGGUCGUCCGGUCGGUGUCGGUCGUCCGUGCCUGGGACUUGUCGGACGUCCGGCGUUCGUCGGUCGUUCGGCUGCUGUAGCUUUCGUCGGCAGGUCUCUUGGGCUGGCUGGAGCUCCAGGUGUCGGACGUCCGACGUAGUCCGGUCGUCCGGGCGCUGUAGGGGUGUCGGACGUCCGGUGGCUUCUGGUCGUCCGGUCGCUGUAGACUCCGCAGCUCCUUCUUCUUCCGUCUUCGCUUCCAUGCCUCCCUCGCGGAUGGGGUAGUUGUUCCUUGGCGCUUGCACUCCUCCUUGUCAUCCAUGAAGUUCCGGUGAUACCUAUGCAUGCACACGGGUGGAGUGUCAAGUAGUAUACCAUCCUCGAAGGGGUCAAGUGAACACGUGUAAAGGAGUAGAUUCACCUUUAUGUAUGGGAAGUAGAGGUCGCACGUGUCACUUGCCAAAUGAACUCUUGACAUGGUGAUGACCGUAGGAUGCUCCGCAUCAUCCCCUCCCCCUUGGAAAAGAUCCGACCUCGGAUCGAAAACCAAAUCACCAUGGGAAAGAGAUGGUGUUACCGUGUCGAAGCGGUCGAUCUCCAAGCACUCAUCAUCUUUAAGCUCGAAAUAGGCACUCUCCAAUGUCGCACCAUCUUGUGAUUCCUUCAAAAGGAGAAAAUAGAACAAACACUUGGAAAAACAAAUGUGGUUAGCGUUAGUGCAAAACCAAGCAUUCAAGAGGUGAUUCACCAAACAAGUGUUGUCAUCAAGCAUAGCAUAGGGUGUGACAAAGGAUUGUGACAUGGCAUGUAAGCAUAUGAAUCGAGCAAAAUCAAGGUCAUCAUGGAAACAAGCAUGUAAAUGUGAGAUAGAGAUGCAAAUAUGUGUGAUAAGAGCAUAAGCAUCUACCUCAAAGUCAUAGCAAACAUGCAUAAAGUGCUCGACAAAUGGUCGAUGGUAGGCAUAGGAAUCAUUCACAACACCAAAUAAGAUGAGAUGUCUAAACACAUGGGUCAAGUGCAAGACAAUCCAAGCAUAAUGUGCAUAGGGUGUAGUGAAUAUAGUGUGGCACUCAACACAAUAGAAAUAGCAAGUGUUCAUCAUGUGUGAGGCAGUCAAGUCAAGCAUGUGACAAGCAAAGGGACAUGGCAUAUGUGAAGAAAUGAUAUUGGUGCAACCAAUCAUAUGAUAGUAGCAAGUAGACCAAGAAUUGGAUGCAACACACAAGGUAUAUAUACCAUGAAGCAUGGAAAUGUGGCAAUCAUGGGUGAAAGCAAUGUCUCGAACAUGCGUGCAAAUGGUGCAAGCAACACAUGAAGUAUGAUCCACAAUAUCCAAGCUCAAGAAGGAUGUCACCUUGAAGGUGUGUCCUUGUGCAUUCUUCACAAUGCCGAAGUGGAAGUAAAUAUGGUGUAGAAGUGAGUCGUGGUAGAAUGUAUGAGGCUCGCUCUCAAGAGCUCGAAUGGUCAACUCACGUGAAGUGGAAGUCGACACAAAGUCCAAGUAUCCUACACAUGCACAAAACAAAACAAAGAACGUAUGCGCAUGGUAGAUAAACACAUCAUCCAUCAUGAUGGUUCUCAUCUUUUGCACAAAACCAUUAGAAGCACAAGUGCAUGAAUAAUAUGAUGCAACAAUGGAUAAAUUCAUGGCCCUGGGUAUAUGGUGCAAAGAAGUAAGACAAGCAUGCUUCACAAGAAUUAUGUCAAAAUCUCCAAAUAUAUGCGAGAAUGCUGUGGGGGCAAUCUCAUGAGCAAGAAGAGAAUCAUUGUUGCACUCAAUACAUGGCAAAUCUAGCAUGAGAGAGGCAACACAUGAAGAUAUUUGACAAGAAGCAAUAUGAUUCAUGUGCAAAGCAUAUAGAUGGUUGUCAUCAACCGCAUCAAAUGAGCAAGUAUGAAUCAUUGGUGAUGCAACAUAAGCAAGCAUAGUAAUGAAGUCGUGCAAACUAGUGGAGCGAAGAUGCAACACACUAGAAGAAAUCAUGACAAUCAUGUCAUGUGAGCAAAUAAUAGGCAUAGGGAAUGCACAUGACAUAUCGCAAGCACAGACACAAAGCAAGAUGAAAGUAUCAUCAUAGGAAUGGUGCACAAAAGGAACAUGGCAAUAACAAGCAAUAUCUCCACCAAGCUUGCAAAUACACAUACAAGUACAAGAAUCAAUCAUCAUGUGUAAUGCAAAGCAUGGGUCACAAAUGCAUGGCAAAGGCAUAGUAAAUAGCAUAUCAUGCAAAGUGAGAAUGGCAAGAUGGGCAAAUGAUAUAUAAUGGACAAUAAGCCAUAACCAUGUGAGGCCAUGUAGAAGAAAUGCGCGAAGUCCUUGCGCGAAGAGAGUGGUGGGAAAGCCAAUCCAUGGGAUCCCAAAUCAUCGUUGCUCUCUAGAGCUCGUUUUGUCAACUCGUGGGAUUGUGAGGUUGACAAGUAUUCAUGGGUACCUACACAAAAGAGACACAAACCAAAGAAAUUGUGCAUGUGGUAAAUGUACACAUCAUCCAUCAUGAUGUGUAUGUGCACGUGCGAGUUAGCACAAGAUAAGAAAUGCUCACAGAAAUUUGAUGCAUGGUAUAAGAACAUGUCAUCCAUCAUGAAAGAAUAGUUAUUAUGUAUGAUACGAUGGGGACACAAAUUGAGAAUGCAAGUAUAUGGCACAUCAAUAGCAUUUUCAUUCAAGGGAAACAUAUGGUGCACAUAAUUAUUGGGAUCAUGCAAUGGAUGGGAUGUAUCAAAAUCUCCUAACGUGUAUGAGAAAACUAUGGGGGUAUCCUCAUGAGCAAUAGCGGAAAUAUCAUAUGGAGAAAAUGGACAACAUCCAAAACAAUGCCUAUCCGAAGCUAGGUGGUCAUGGCAUGGCAUAUGAGAUAAAUGAUGCAAUGGGAGCAUAUCAAUAUCAUCACAAGAAAAACAAAUGCCAAUAACCAUGGGCUUGUCAUCUAUGCCGUAAGUGCAAAUUGGGUUUAUUUUAAUGGCAUAUGCAUAGUCACUAUGAAGAGAUUGCAAAUAAGACAUAUGGUGGAUCUCAUGCAUAGCAUAUGACAAGUCAAGCGGAUUAUCAAACAUGAUGUGACCUAAAGAAUUUUCACAAGAAAUCCUAUGUAACAUGGCAUCACAACUAAUAGACUCCAUAAGAGAAUCAUCAUACUCAUCAUAAAUGGGCAAAUCAUCGCAUGGGGAAAUCAUACAAGCAUGAAGCAUGGUAAUAGGUGGAUCAACAUCAUGCAAGCAAUCAAUGUCAAGAAUGUCCACUAGGGGGACUAGAGCAUCACCUUCACCUAUGUUACCUUUUUCAUUCCACUCAAGUGGUGUAGGUGAGGUGGCAAAGACCAAAUGAUGGUCAUCUUCAUCUUGAUGGAACCAUGUGGGGGGUGCAUCAUAUUCCACCAUGGCCAUCGUCUUGUCCAAAGGGAGGACGAUGUAAUCAAGGAUCGACGCGUCAUCAUAAAUGGGACCUAGCACCAAAUGAUAAGACAUAAUAGAGGUAGAGGUCAAGUUGUUAGAAUUGCAAAUGGCCUCACGAGACAUAUCAACUAUCACACUCUCUCUAUGUGGUGGUUCACUCACUCCCUCAAAAUAGGUGCACUCAAAGUCACAUAUGGUGGAGUCACUCAUCUCACUCAAGUGGUGGGGGUUGUGGCUCUCCUCACAUGGGAAUUGUGGCAACUCAUCAUAUUUGGGGCUAGUGGUGAAGUCACUCUCACUCUCAAUAUGGUGGCAAAAGUCACUCAAGUCAUCAUACGUCGCCGUGGUCGAAGGGAAAAUCCCAUGCUCAACCAUCUCGUCAUUGUCGCCAUGGAUGAAGGCCGAAGAUGGCACAACAUUGCUCUCCUCCAUGACCGAAGGGAAAAUCCCAUGCUCGAUCAUCUCGUCAUCGUCGCUGUUGAUGAAGGCCGAAGAUGGCACAUCAUCACUCUCGCCUCCUAAGAUGGAAGCAUCAUCCUUGCUCGCCACCUUGUCGCUCGCCUCCAAAGCUUGGUCCUUGAGUGUCUCCGUAGUCGUACUCGUCGCCGCACCGUCUUGAAAAAGAGUCAAAGUAGACUCGGCACCAUCAAUGCCACAAAGAGGGAUGGCGGUGAAGUCAAACUUGGGAGCAUCAUCUUGGAUCUCAUCGGGCUUGGACAUCAUGGUGGUACUAGCCUCAUGCUUUUCGUAGAGCUUGGUCGCCGCGAAGUGUGCUUGGGGUGGAGAAGCCUUGGCCUUCAUGAGUUCUUGUUCCACCUUGAGAGCACCAAUGUAGUAGUCGUCAAUGGACUUGCAGUUCUCGAGGAAGAUGGUCUUGGAGAUGUUGUUGUGCAAUCCCAUCAUGAAAUGGAACUUCAUCAAAAUGGAGUCGUCCACGCCGGCUCAUCGCAAGGCAAUCUUCAUCUCCUUGAAGUACUUGUCGAUGGACUUGGAUCCUUGGGUGGUGUUCUCCAAUUGGCGUCGAAGUUUUUCUGUGUAGGUUGGAGGCACAAACUCUCACCGCAAAGCUCUCUUCGUCUUGGGCCAACUCAUGUCGUAGUACUCCAAAGGUGUGUGAAGCCACCAAGACAAGGCGUAGUCGUGGAAGUUUCUUGUGGCGCACUUCACUUGAUCUUUGGGAGGAACUUGAUGUAGCUUGAGGUAGUCGUCCAUCAAACGCUCCCACUCGAGGUACUCCUCGGGUUCGUGAGUCCCAUAGAAAGGAAUCGCAUGGUCGAUGUCGAGGUCGUAGUAGCUCGUGGAAGUCACGGACUUGAGCUUGGGGAGCUUCUGUUGAGCGUAGUCUUGGGGUGCUUGUUGGCGAAGAUGUCGUAUGUCCGUAGGCGAAGAUGCCUUGAAGUCGCUUGGCAAAGAAGCCAAGGGAGAUGGUGAAGUCUUUAAGCGGUUGUUGGUGUAGAGCUCUUGACCUUCAUGUUCUUGUUGGUGAUGGUGUCGAUGCCGAUGUGAUCUUGCCGGAGAUGGUAGCUCGGAAGCAUGUGCUCUUGGGCGUCUUCUCGAAGAUGAGGAAGAUCGCUUGUAGGACUUGAUGAGGGCUUUGAUCUCCUCCAUUUGAGCUUGCAUCUUGGCAUCGUAGUUGUUGUUCGUGGCAUCGAACUCGUCCUUGUUGUUGUAGACCGAAGGUGAAAUGCCUUGCCUAUCCAUCACAAGACUCGAGUAGAGGUGAGUAGGAAAUGAGAUAAACAAUACCAAGUUACCUUUUCCCAAAGUUGAGGAUGUAUCCCGUUUCACUCAAUGUGAGAUGAAAGAAUAGUGGAAUUGGUACCGGACUUGUUCACUCACACCUAUCAAGUAAAGCUUAUGGUAGAGCUCGGUGAGGAUAGUGGCACAAAAAAUUGAUGCAAAAUGUUAGCAAGAGUCAAUAAUGUUGAAAGAGAUUCACAAAUUCGCAAGCGAAACAAGUAGACCAAUAGCAAUAUGUGGCACACAAAAACACACACACGGAUAGAUAAAUGGGGUCGUGCAACCAAGGAAUGAGCACCAAAUGUGGAAUCCACGAAAAACGCUCAUGUUGCACAACUCAAGAGAGAUGCUAGCACGAUUGCUCAAUAGGCGGAUACGACACUUGUGCACAACCUAUAAGAUGCAAAAUGGAUAAACUUUCUAUCCCAAGUAUGCUAUGUAUGUAUGGUUCCCGGUGUUUCUCACAAGAUGAUCCAAGAUGAUCGAGUAUGAUAACAUAUGAUAUAUGUUGAUGCUAUGGCUAUUGCUUACAAUCUCUUUGAUCUCUCUUUUUCUUUGCUUAAAAGCUUAUUCUCUUUUUUUGUAUGGCCACUUUUGCACAAUGCACGAACCAAGAUAGCAAUUGUGUAUAUGCGGGAACAAACUUGUGACACAAGAUAUGAUACCAAUAUGAUAUGGUAUGUAUGUAAUGGAAGGUAUAGACCACUAAUGUGCACAAGUCACGUUGCCGGCAAUACUCAAAUGGCUAGUCUCGAUAGGCAAGUAAUGCAAAAUGGUCUAGGGGUUAUCAAUGCAAUUUGCAAGGGGAAUAUACAAUGGUGUCGUCGAGGUUACCGUCCUUGGUGAUGAUGAGAGGCGGUGUUGCCGAUGUCGACCCGUUCCUAGUUAGCCGAAACACCUCAGGAAACGGAAAAACCGCAAACUCAAAAUCUCCAAAGGCAAAUGUCAAAAUGGUGGUAGCGGAAAAGUGGUGGUGGUUUGCACUUGGCAAUGCGGAAGUGGAAUGAUGGAUUAUGCGAGUCAAUGUUGAAGUUGCCGUCCCUAAGUAGCCGAAACACCUUAGGAGACACAAGCCACAACUCAAACAAAAUUGGGUUAAGUUCGGGUGGAAAUAUAUGGUGGACAAGGUUAUGUGGAAAUGGUGGUGGUGGUUGAUGAAGAAGCAAUCGUCCCUAAGUAGCCGAAACACCUUAGGAGACUCGAAUCACUACUCAAGGAACCACUAAUGCUAUGGUGAACAAAAUGGGUUAGGUUGCGGAAGUCGGUGGUGCCUAUGCGGAUGAUAUGGUGGAAGGCCUAGGCAAACAUGCCAAAUUUUGGAAAAUUUGAUGGAGUCAAAUGGUGUUGGUGGUAUUUUUGUGGGAUGGAGGAUGUCAAUAGCUUCAAAACGAGCUAAAGAACGUCAAAAUCGGAGUUCGGAUGAAUUAGUUAUGAACAAAACAAAAAUCAGCCGAAGUCUGAAACUACAGGUUACGGACGUCCGUAAAUGGAUGGAUGUCCGGUCGUCGGACGUCCGGGAAGGUCGGAAAUCCAUAAAUUCAGCUCGGGUUAGGGUUUCUGGUCGUCCGGGGAAAGUCGGACGUGCGGUGCUUCAUGGGGGUCCGGACGUCCGUAAAUCGCCGGUCGUCCGGUGGGUCGGGGUCAACGUGAAAUUUCAGAUCCGGGACGUGAUUUUGGGCGGAAAUUGGAGAUUUCGGGGUCAAAAUUGAUGAGAUUUUGUGGAUGAAAGAUGGGGAAACUUGGGGAAAUUCUAGAUCCACUCGAAACCAAGCAAAUCCAUGGAUCAAAAUCAAUGAAACAUCAUCAAACCAACAAAUCACAAAAAAAUUUGGGGCUAUUUUUGGUGGGAAUUUUCGGAUUUUGGGGAAGAACACAACAAUACAAGGCUAGAAAACGGUGGGAGGGACUCCAAAUACGUGAUAAACGUGGCUCAUGAUACCAUAUGAUACGGGGCUAACCCGGUGUAGGCCGAUCUUUCACGUUUGGAGUGGGAUCCCUCGAAGAGCACGAAGAACACGGGGAAGAACGGGGAGAAAUCACAAGGGGAAACACUCAAGAACAAGUCCAAUCACACAUCCACUAGACAAUCAAACACACAAGAUCACAAGGUACAUGAACAACAAAGGGAAAGAUACAAGGUAAGGUUCAUCUCCAAGGGGAGGUCUUGAUGAUAUCCUAGACGGAUCUUCCCACGAGGGGGUCUUAAUGAUAUCCCGUAGGAUCUUCUCCUAGAUGGAGGUCUUGGCCUCCAAUGGAGUAGUGGUCUCUCUCUCUCAAGAGUAGAGAUAGGUAGGAGCAAAGCUCACAUACAAAUGAGCUAUCACUUUGCUAACCCUAGAAAGGAGGUGGAGGUGGUCUAUUUAUAGUCUAAGCCACGAAGGGGUAAGUGGGAGAGGGAUACAAGGCCAAAGGCCCGCGGCUGCG